rnacentral:rRNA from 1 species
GAUGAACGCUGGCGGCGUGCCUAAUACAUGCAAGUCGAGCGAACAGACGAGGAGCUUGCUCCUCUGACGUUAGCGGCGGACGGGUGAGUAACACGUGGAUAACCUACCUAUAAGACUGGGAUAACUUCGGGAAACCGGAGCUAAUACCGGAUAAUAUAUUGAACCGCAUGGUUCAAUAGUGAAAGACGGUUUUGCUGUCACUUAUAGAUGGAUCCGCGCCGCAUUAGCUAGUUGGUAAGGUAACGGCUUACCAAGGCAACGAUGGGUAGCCGACCUGAGAGGGUGGUCGGCCACACUGGAACUGAGACACGGUCCAGACUCCUACGGGAGGCAGCAGUAGGGAAUCUUCCGCAAUGGGCGAGAGCCUGACGGAGCAACGCCGCGUGAGUGAUGAAGGUCUUCGGAUCGUAAAACUCUGUUAUUAGGGAAGAACAAAUGUGUAAGUAACUAUGCACGUCUUGACGGUACCUAAUCAGAAAGCCACGGCUAACUACGUG